rnacentral:rRNA from 1 species
CCCUUAGAUGUUCUGGGCCGCACACGCGCUACACUGAAGGAGGCAGCGUGUACUCCUGGAUCGAAAGAUUUGGGUAACCCGCGAAUCUCCUUCGUGCUAGGGAUUGAGGUUUGCAAUUAUCCUUCAUGAACGAGGAAUUCCCAGUAAGUGCAAGUCAUAAGCUUGCGCUGACUACGUCCCUGCCCUUUGUACACACCGCCCGUCGCUCCUACCGAUUGAAUGGUCCGGUGAAGCGUUCGGACCGUGGCCUUUGGACGGUUCGCCGUCUGUUGGCUGCGGGAAGUUCGUUAAACCUUAUCAUUUAGAGGAAGGAGAANUCGUANCA